ACCUCGCUGGCUCAGUCGGUAGAGCAUGUGACUCUUGAUCUCAGGGUUGUGAGUUCAAGCCCCACGCUGGGUG
rnacentral:tRNA from 1 species